UUGGGUGUGGAGAUCAGAUCUUUUAAAUCCGCCUAUAUUUUCUCAGGCAAAAAUAAGAAAGCAUGAUCCUGCAUAGGCAGAACGCUUGUGCUUUUCUUGUUUUGUAAAAAAAAAAAAAUCCUAUCUACAUGCCUUAUAAUGAAAUGAUGCAAGCAUAUUAGAGCUGACUGGAAAUGGCUGCUGGAUCAACAGUUGCUGUUUUAAGAAGGUAAUUCAGUGUUUUCCAGGAACCGAGCUACAAAUGACACCUGAAGUUAAUGAUCUAUUCACUGGCAGGAAUGGUGGCAGAUAACAGAGCAGAGACAGGAGUGGCCUGUUCUCCUGGGUGACCAUGGUGCCAGUUAAAAGCGGACCGCAGGAGCAGGGCCUCUUGGUGCAAUACUAAACACAAAAUCUCCUGAGUGGAGAGCCUCGUCUUUGUGAAGCACGGGAGGAUAAGAAGAAUGUCUACUGUGUCGCAAGAAAAUUAGGGGAGGAGUUUGCAAGGGCAACCCUCGGAAAGGUGGGAGUUGAAUACAAGUAUAUGCAAUUUGGAGUAGAGGAAACAGCAACUCUUUUGCAGAGGACAUCUUUAAUUUCUAAAGCGUGGAAAUGACCCUUCUGAGCCUCACAACAGGGUUUCUGCUGUGGAUGUGUUGUGCUACACAUAAAGCUUCUGCAGGAGCAGCAUGUGAAGACCCACCUCUCAUUGAGUUUGGCAAAAUUGUUAGUGGCAUUAAAUCCGAAUAUGAG